AGUGAGCGCUGACGGUAGGCCUAACACAUGCAAGUCGAACGGCAGCACAGUAAGAGCUUGCUCUUACGGGUGGCGAGUGGCGGACGGGUGAGGAAUACAUCGGAAUCUACUUUUUCGUGGGGGAUAACGUAGGGAAACUUACGCUAAUACCGCAUACGACCUACGGGUGAAAGCAGGGGAUCUUCGGACCUUGCGCGAUUGAAUGAGCCGAUGUCGGAUUAGCUAGUUGGCGGGGUAAAGGCCCACCAAGGCGACGAUCCGUAGCUGGUCUGAGAGGAUGAUCAGCCACACUGGAACUGAGACACGGUCCAGACUCCUACGGGAGGCAGCAGUGGGGAAUAUUGGACAAAGGGCGCAAGCCUGAUCCAGCCAUACCGCGUGGGUGAAGAAGGCCUUCGGGUUGUAAAGCCCUUUUGUUGGGAAAGAAAAGCAGCAGGUUAAUACCCCGCUGUUCUGACGGUACCCAAAGAAUAAGCACCGGCUAACUUCGUG
rnacentral:rRNA from 1 species